AUCGCUUCUCGCCUUUUGGCUAAGAUCAAGUGUAGUAUUCGUUCUUAUCAGUUUAAUAUUUCCGACACGCCCCCACCCGGGACCAUAUAUUAAAUUGCUUUUGAGCAGGGGAGAUGAAUAGCUUGUCAUCUAAUUCCACGCAUUUCCAUCUGGUAUUGCAGUAUCUGAAACGGUGCGCCUCCC